UAUACCAGACGAUGUCACUAACAGACAAUGGCAUUCUCUCUCAGUGUGGAGUGUGACCCCAACUACUAACUGGAUAAUUGAGUGUGGUGGAGAUAGAGGCUAUUCAACACUAAGUGAUACAGCAGUUAUUGAACUCAGAUUUACUAAUGAUAAUGAUUGGUCUACUAGUGUAAUACCUCUGGACCAGUAUCAAGAUCAACUAAGAAGAAGGAUACUGGGUGAUUGGGAGAAUUUAGGAUUAAGCAAAGAGGUUCAAUUACUCAGAGGACACCUACAA